rnacentral:rRNA from 1 species
AUGGCAAUUGUACAUACAUACGGGAAGCCUGACAUCUUCUUGACCAUGACUUGCAAUCCAAAAUGGGAAGAGAUAACGAAUGAGUUGCUGCCUGGUCAGACGGCGCAAGACCGACCUGAUAUUCUGGCUCGCGUGUUCUUUGGCAAACUAGAGGCUAUGAAGGACAUGUUGUUCAAGAAGCACAUCCUGGGUGUUGUUGUCGCAUAUGUAUAUGUUGUCGAGUUUCAAAAAAGGGGCCUCCCACACGCACAUUUUUUGUUGAUCAUGGACUCAACAUAUAAGCUUAUCGUCCCCGAGCAGUAUGACCGACUCAUUUCCGCAGAGCUCCCAGACUAG